rnacentral:rRNA from 1 species
AUUGAACGCUGGCGGCAUGCUUUACACAUGCAAGUCGAACGGCAGCACAGGGAGCUUGCUCCUGGGUGGCGAGUGGCGAACGGGUGAGUAAUGUAUCGGAACGUGCCUGGUAGUGGGGGAUAACUACUCGAAAGAGUGGCUAAUACCGCAUGAGAUCUUUGGAUGAAAGCGGGGGACCUUCGGGCCUCGUGCUACUGGAGCGGCCGAUAUCAGAUUAGGUUGUUGGUGGGGUAAAGGCCUACCAAGCCUGCGAUCUGUAGCUGGUCUGAGAGGACGACCAGCCACACUGGGACUGAGACACGGCCCAGACUCCUACGGGAGGCAGCAGUGGGGAAUGUUGGACAAUGGGCGCAAGCCUGAUCCAGCAAUGCCGCGUGCAGGACGAAGGCCUUCGGGUUGUAAACUGCUUUUGUACAGAACGAAAAGUCUCUGGCUAAUAUCUAGAGAUCAUGACGGUACUGUAAGAAUAAGCACCGGCUAACUACGUG